UUAAGUUAAAUCUAACGAAGUAGAAAAAGAAAUUUGCCUAAGAAGAAGCUCGCGUCUGAUUAGCUAGUUGGUAGGGUAAUAGCCUACCAAGGCGAUGAUCAGUAGCUGGUUUGAGAGGGAUGAUCAGCCACACUGGAACUGAGACACGGUCCAGACUCCUACGGGAGGCAGCAGUGAGGAAUUUUCUGCAAUGGGCGAAAGCCUGACAGAGCAACACCGCGUGAGGGAUGACAGCCUUCGGGUUGUAAACCUCUUUCUCAAGAAGGAAGAUCUGACGUUACUUGAGGAAUAAGCAUCGGCUAACCCUGUG
rnacentral:rRNA from 1 species